rnacentral:lncRNA from 1 species
GAAGGCAUUCCCCUGCUGAAUCUAAGUUCCUAUAUGCUUGUUCAUUUUUAUCAUAUUUAAAGGAUCUGGCAUAGACCUAGCCUGUUGGACUGGCUCAGGAUGUGUUCAGCUGAUCUGGAUGGGGAGGUAAGGGUAACCAUCCUCUUCACUCUUCUUUGUUUAAACAAAAUUUGACUUUUAGGACAAGCAUCUAGUACUUCUCUUCUGGGACUGAUGAAAAAUCCUAACAAACAACAUGGAGGAAUGAGUCUAAAUCUAGAUCCUAACAGUAGGAGACCAGCUGUCUGUCAAACAGGACAUGUAGCUGGGUGAGCCCUGCUGGAGGGAAGCCUGUUCCUCUCUGCACAAAGGAAACUGAACUCGUUCUCUCUCCCAGCAGUGUAAGCCCUGAGGCAUUUUUGGAAGAAUGAUAAUUAUUGUCUUUAAGUAAUUCCACAUAAGAAUGAGGUACUGAGACAAAACUGAAGUAAAAGAAACUUAUAGAAAAGAAGAAUGCUACUAAAAUGGAGAAAAAUUUAAAGUGGCAGCAUUUCUGCUAUGGCCAGACAGAAAAAUACUUUUUUUUUUUUUAGCAUAUUAAAAAAAAUUCUUAAUGAUUUGUUUGGACUGAAUAGAAAAUUAACAUUAUUUCCUUUUAUUCCUCCUGUCCAGAAAAAUCUUAAGUGGGUACUCUGGAGUUGCAACACAUUGUGAUCUUUCUUAAGACAUUUUUUCUAAUUAAUGACAUUGCUUCCUUAGGUGUGAGCUCUACAAUUUAAAUAGCAGCCUAUGUUCAGAUGUACCUCAUACCAUGUCACUUUAUUAGAAGAGCAAUCUGACAUUUUUUUGACAGCUAAUGUCUUGUGGCUGAAUUAGUGACACCUUUAAAAAGAACUCAUUAUCAGCUUAGUGAACAAAAUAUGCACUACACAAUAGUACAGAAUUAUAAUUUUCAAUGUCAGUGAUUUUUUGUCUGUAUGGGUAGGAUGGAUUGGGGAUCGGCUAAAGCCAUUUUAAAUACAUGAUAUUCCAGGAGAUUAACAAAUUUACACUGAGAUUCCCUCAAUUCUUUUCGACAUGAACUAACUCUUCAUUUCUCAUGACUAGUACCACUCUGAGAAAAAUUAAGAAAAAAAAACUGAGCCAGUCUCAUGAGUGAGAAUUCAUCUUUUGAGGAACAAAGUAUCAUGAAUAAACAUGCAGACAUCUUUUACAAACAUCAUCAACAGAAUUCCUGUGAGCAUUAAGGGUGAAUGAAAUAUGGAUUGUGCUGUGUGGUCUUAAUUCUCAAAAGUUCUUUAUGUUUCUGUGACAUUGCAGUCAAAUUCACAUCCUGUGAGAAGUCAGCAAAUGGCAAAAAAACAAAAACCAGAAUGGAAAGAGGUUAGAAGAACAGCAUCCUGCAAGCUGACCUAAGGACAUUUUUAGACAAACAAUCCUAAUCACCAACAGCCGGUGGCAGAUUAUUUACACAUCUCUAGUGCUGGUUAUUAUAUGGAUGCCUGAAAUUAUUUCAGCUAUGGAAAGGUGAAAUUGUGACGGUGUCAGGUUGAAACCUCAUUUGAGAGAAUCCCACAUUCCACCGAGACUAAUGACUGGAAAUUCAGACUUGAUGAGAGAAGGGACAAGAAGUGAGAACAUGACAAAGCUGCACUGGCACCGGCGGAGCUGUUAUUUUUCAGAAGAACCUUUGGAAACCAGUCACUUAUAUUUAACUCCACUCCAGCAUAUCCAAGUUAUGGGAUUUCAUACCAUUGAUGUGGAGACGUACUAUUUUUAAACUUCUAAUAUCUCCAUCAGAAUUGUUUUCACUCAGUGAGUUGAAAAGAUUUUGGAAAUAACACUGAGAUAUAUUAUGUGAAGAUUCUAUUUUUUAUGUAAUAUGCAAAAAUUUAAAAAAGGUGAAUAUUUUCUUUGUUAUUCUCUACCAAGACUUUUUUCCCUAAUUUCGAUGUGUGGUAGUGUUGGUGGCCUGGCAUUGGGAAGCAGUGCUCGUUUAUCUGUCAGGCUAGGGAGACAACAUUUUUCAACUUUUCUACUUGUUUGGUAUCCAUGAAAACUUUAGUAUGGAUAAUUAUAAAUAUUACUAUUGUUCUAGGGAGUAACCUAGUAUUGUGGUAUGGAUAUGAGAUAUCCCCCAAAAGCUCACAUGUGAGGCAAUGUAAGAAGGUUCAGAGGAAAGUCUAAACCCAAUGAGUGAAUUAAUUAAUCCCUGAUGGCAUUAAUUGAAGUGAUAGAAUGUGGUUGGAGGAAGUCAGAAUUGGGGCGUGACUAUGGGGUAUAUUUUGGACCUGGCGAAUGGAGUCUCUCUCUGCUUCCUGAUCAUCAUAUGAGCUGCUUCCCUCUCCCACACUCUCUCCCAUGAUAUUCUGCCUCACCUUGAGCCUCGGAAUGGAGCUGCCUUUCUAUAGACUGAGACCUUUGAAACUGUGAGCCCUCAAAUAAACUCUUCCUCCUCUAAAGUUGUUCUGGUCAGAUCCUUUAGUUACAGCAGUGAGAAAGCUGAC